rnacentral:tRNA from 1 species
GGGGAUGUGGCUUAGUGGCAAAGUGCUUGCCUAGCAUGCAGGAAGCCCUGGGUUCAAUUCCUCACUACCACA